UAAUACAUGCAAGUCGAACGCGUCUCCGUUAAUGAUUUUAGGUGCUUGCACUUGAAAGAUUUAACAUUGAGACGAGUGGCGAACUGGUGAGUAACACGUGGGUAACCUGCCCUUGAAGUAGGGGAUAACACUUGGAAACAGGUGCUAAUACCGUAUAACAACCAAAACCACCUGGUUUUGGUUUAAAAGACGGCUUCGGCUGUCACUUUAGGAUGGACCCGCGGCGUAUUAGCUUGUUGGUAAGGUAACGGCCUACCAAGGCGAUGAUACGUAGCCGACCUGAGAGGGUAAUCGGCCACAUUGGGACUGAGACACGGCCCAAACUCCUACGGGAGGCAGCAGUAGGGAAUCUUCCACAAUGGACGAAAGUCUGAUGGAGCAACGCCGCGUGAGUGAUGAAGGGUUUCGGCUCGUAAAACUCUGUUGUUGGAGAAGAACAGGUGUCAGAGUAACUGUUGACAUCUUGACGGUAUCCAACCAGAAAGCCACGGCUAACUACGUGCCAGCAGCCGCGGUAAUACGUAGGUGGCAAGCGUUGUCCGGAUUUAUUGGGCGUAAAGCGAGCGCAGGCGGUUUUUUAGGUCUGAUGUGAAAGCCUUCGGCUUAACCGGAGAAGUGCAUCGGAAACCGGGAGACUUGAGUGCAGAAGAGGACAGUGGAACUCCAUGUGUAGCGGUGAAAUGCGUAGAUAUAUGGAAGAACACCAGUGGCGAAGGCGGCUGUCUGGUCUGUAACUGACGCUGAGGCUCGAAAGCA
rnacentral:rRNA from 1 species